rnacentral:pre_miRNA from 1 species
UACAGUCAGAAGGGGUUUCUUUCGGCCUUCAGCUAUUGAGAGACUGUAGGCCGGCGGAAACUACUUGCUGACUGUA